AGUGAACGCUGGCGGUAGGCCUAACACAUGCAAGUCGAACGGCAGCACAGUAAGAGCUUGCUCUUACGGGUGGCGAGUGGCGGACGGGUGAGGAAUACAUCGGAAUCUACUUUUUCGUGGGGGAUAACGUAGGGAAACUUACGCUAAUACCGCAUACGACCUACGGGUGAAAGCAGGGGAUCUUCGGACCUUGCGCGAUUGAAUGAGCCGAUGUCGGAUUAGCUAGUUGGCGGGGUAAAGGCCCACCAAGGCGACGAUCCGUAGCUGGUCUGAGAGGAUGAUCAGCCACACUGGAACUGAGACACGGUCCAGACUCCUACGGGAGGCAGCAGUGGGGAAUAUUGGACAAUGGGCUCAAGCCUGAUCCAGCCAUACCGCGUGGGUGAAGAAGGCCUUCGGGCUGUAAAGCCCUUUUGUUGGGAAAGAAAAGCAGCAGGUUAAUACCCCGCUGUUCUGACGGUACCCAAAGAAUAAGCACCGGCUAACUUCG
rnacentral:rRNA from 1 species